GCCCCCUCUGCCCAAUCGCGACGGCGGUCCCUCCGUCCGUCGGAGCCGGCAUCUUCUCCACAUUCGACCGAGCAUUGCUUCCCGCAGCUGCUCAUUGGCGCGGCCGCCCUCCCCCACUGCUGCCAUGGCCGUCCAUGCUCCUCCAGUCCUCCCCUUCUUUUUCUCUUCCCCGACCCCACCCCAUCGCCGGCAAACAGGACAGCGCGCAUCCACCAGCUGAAUGGCCACCGUGUGCCUGGAAGCUGCCCACCUCCCCGACGGUGGAGUCGCUCCUCCACGACGAGGGUCUGGAUGGAGGGGUCGUCCCCAUCCCUUCGUCCAAGGGUGAGCGGGCCUCGCCGUGCCUGAGGACGGCCACCAACCACCGCGUCCACAACCUCCCAGAGCAGCCACACAUGUGCCUCCUCGCUGCUCAGUCCCUGGCCACGCACGCUCUAGCCGCAGCGUCCAGGCCGUUCACAGUUGCCACCCUAGUCCGUUCACCACCGCCAACCGAGGCCGAUCGACAAUGCAGCGAUGAGGUCGUUCAACGACACAAUGGUGGUUCGGCACAUGGCCUGUUCCAACGAUCUCUAAUGGUGGUCAUGGCGUGGUGUUGGAGGCCCCGUAUGCAAACAGGGACAAGUUGUGGGAUGGCAUACAAGUGGGGAUGGCAACAAAGCUUGAGAGAUUUUAUGUUGCCAUAUCGGGCUUCACAGUCAAUAGCACCAUGCUCUGGGAUCCCAAACUGAGGUCCCAUCAGGUCUGGAACACGACCCGGCACCCGGAAAAUGGUGUAACAGGGCUUCCAAUUUUCAUGGAUGCUAGCCGGCAAUACGUCGAAGAUUCCUGACUUGUGGUGAUAGCGGCCACCACUAAGGGCAUUUGCUUCCAGCACAGGAGCUACAUGCUCGACGGUUGCACACUGCCGCCAUGGACAUGCACAAAGAUAUUGAGUACAUAAUUGUGUAUCGCACAGUACAUGUAUUACUACUGGGAAUGUUCAGAAAUCAGAACUCAAAAGAAGUAUUGACAGCACAACUACUGUAUAUUCAAGGAGUCAGGUUUUGCUCCUACAUCACCUCGUCUCCUCCGUUCGGCAAAAGCCUCAGAUAAGUUCACACCAUGGUUUCGCUCUUUCGUAUAAUUCUUGAGUCCAGACUCCUUCGGUUUUUGUUCCAUACAAAUUAAAGAAACCUGUAGAAGUUUGGGGUAUAAAAUUCUAUAAGUUCAAAACCGGGAAACUAGUAAGUUCAGACAAAAUUAAAACUGUCAAGAGAACAUGAGAGUUUUUGUCAAAGAACCGAGGCUUCCCCACGCCAGUACAAACUUUUUAAAUGUGUGGAUUUUGUCAAAGCAAAAACUGAAUGGGUGGCAAGAUGAAUGUAGUUGUUCUUAAAAGUUUCUUUUUGAACUUCUCCUCUUAAUAUACAUGAACUUGAUUAUCUUUUUAACCGGUUAAAUAUACAGGGUUGGCAAGACGACUAUAGUUGUUAUAGCAAAAAAGUACAUUUUUCUUAAAAAAGUUUCUGUUUGAACUUCUCCAAUUAAUAUACAUGAACUCAAUUAUCUUUUUAACAUGUACUCACAUGAGCUCGUUUGGAUUUUUGUGUUUACUUGUAACACAAUCAGUUCAGAUCUCGAGAGACCGUAAGUUUAGUUCAUCUUUUUAAUGCUUUUCAGUACAUCUACUUACCAAUCGUAAGUUCAAUUUCCUUUGUGUUUCCAUGUUAUUUCUAUAGCACAACAGGUGUGUGUGGUUAUGUUAAUGAGCGCAUGUAACAAAGUUUAUUUUGUAAGUUCAGAGAAGCAACGAGGUAAAAAGCAAAAACACUAAAACCAUGCAAUUCUUGUAAAGAUAUCUGAAAGUUCAACAAUAAAAUUUAUAUAAGUUUAGUCUCAAGUGGAGAUAAGUUGCUGCAUCUCUCUCUGCCCGUGGAUGCUCAUGUGCUAUAGUUGCUUUCUCCCCUUCCUGUACAUGCUGCUACUCACCUUUUAAUCUCUCUGAUGCGUUGUGUUGCACUACUGCAGCUUGAUCCAGGACGUGCUAGCUCAUGCUGGCUGGAACUAGGAUGCAAAAGGGUUGACGGAUCCAUGCCGCACAAGCACUGAUGCUCUGCUUUCUUCUUACUUUGUGUUCUAAUUUGCUUAUUGGCCUAUAUGGGAACUGAGUGAGUGCAUUUCACCAAGGCAUUCCAUUGUGCUGAUGUCCGGCGUCUGUCCUACCCCAUCGCCUUCGGUCUUUUUCCAGUUUGAGACAGUGAGAGCCGCCUGGGACUCGCCGGGGACCAAGCUGCACCAUUGAGAGCCUCCACAAGUACGUCUUCCUACCAGCCCCCGAUGGUAGUUUUCUCCACCGUAAGAAGCCCAACAAGAUGAACCGUACACGCGAGGAACCUCCCGAGCGUAGCAACUCCUCCGUCCAAGUCGAGCGUUGGGCGCCGUCCAGGUCGAGCACUGGGUGCCAUCCAAGUUAAGUCAUCCAACAAAUGGGAGAGCGAGCUUUGCUCCGGGGUAGCCCAUCCUAGACGCGCAGCUGCUCUGCUCUCCACAUGAAUUUAGAUUGGAUUGGGUUGUAGUGCAUGUCAGGCUCUAUUGAUCUCCGUCCACGAGUGGUGCUACCUCGAGUCCGGUCGACGGCCUCCACGAGCGCGAGCAGCCCGUAUCCGGCGGCAAGAUGAAGGUCACCCAUGAACCAUGCUUCCUCUAAUCACAUCCACCUUGUGUGAAUUCGCAGCUGAGAAUAAGCACAAGCACCUACAGUCCCCCGGUGGCUUUGGCCGCACUUGGCCACUAGCUCGUCCAUCAUGGUGACUGGCAGCCGUCCAAGUGGAACGCAGACAUCAGUCCAAGGAGAACUAGUUCGUAUAAACUGAGAGUUAUGUAUAAUUAGGGGAUCCAAUGUUAAAAAGUUCAAUUAAGCCGUGUGUGCAAAUUCAAAGAAUUAUUGUAGGAAAGUUUAGAAGUUUGGUUUCGUGAGGAAAAUGUAUGAUUUUCUAUCAGUAUUUGGUAUGAUUCAUUUA